rnacentral:rRNA from 1 species
AUGGCGACCAGGCAUAACCAGCACGCGGCUGCCGCUCCGCAGCCGACCACCAGAGGUGCCGCAGUACCGGCAGGGAAGCAGAAGGACGCCGGCGGCCGCCCCGGUGCGGGAGGGAACAGGCGGGUGCUCGGGGACAUCGGCAACGUCGUCCACGCCCACGUCCUCGACGGCAAGAUCCAGCUGCCGGCGGGGAUAAAUCGCCCAAUCACCAGGAGCUUCGGUGCUCAGCUCUUGCAGAAGGCCCAGGCCGAUCCAUCUAAGAACGGCGUAGCUGUUCCUCCAGCAGCGCGGGCCGGCCUGAAGCCGGUGGCCAAGAAGGUCCCUGUCAAGCUCAAGCCCGCCGCCCCUCGCCCUGAGCCGGCCGCCAAGAUCGUCACCGGCUCCGGCGAAAACAGGAAGCCAUCAGAGGUCGCCGCCGUUUGCUCUGCCCCCAGGAAGAAGGUCGUCCACACCCUCACGACCGUGCUCAGCCAUCGGUCCAAGGAGGCCUCAAUCGAUGACAUCGACAAGCUCGACGGCGACAACGAGCUCGCCGUCGUCGACUACAUCGACGACAUCUACAGAUACUACAAGGAGGCACAGCACGAGUGCCGGCCGAUAGAUUACAUGGGCAGCCAGCCCGAGAUCAACCCCAAGAUGAGGGCAAUCCUGAUAGACUGGCUAGUGGAAGUGACCCAUAAGUUCGAGCUCAUGCCCGAGAGCAUGUACUUGACAAUGUACGUCAUCGACAGGUUCCUCUCCUUACAGGCGGUGCCUCGGCGGGAGCUGCAGCUCGUCGGCAUGGCGGCCAUGCUCAUCUCCUGCAAGUACGAGGAGAUCUGGGCGCCCGAGGUAGACGAUUUCAUAUCCAUAGCCGACUACUCGUACUCGAGGCAGCAGAUCCUGUCCAUGGAGAAGAAUAUCCUGAACAGCAUGGCGUGGAACCUCACCGUGCCCACCCCGUACGUCUUCCUGGUGCGGUUCGCCAAGGCCGCCGGGAGCGACAAGGAGCUUGAGCAUAUGAUCUUCUUCUUCGCCGAGAUGGCGCUCAUGGAGUACGGGCUGGUCACGGUGCGCCCCUCGCUCGUGGCGGCGUCUGCCGUGUACGCCGCCCGGUGCACGCUGAAAAGAAGCCCCGUCUGGACAGAAACCCUGAAGCACCAUACGGGAUUCGCUGAACCGCAGCUCCUGGAGCCUGCCAAGAUGCUGGUCAUGGCGCACGCGGCUGCUCCGGAGAGCAAGCUCAAGGCCAUCUACAAGAAGUACUCGUGUGAGCAGUACGGGCGCGUGUCUCUGCGCCCUCCGGCAGUUGCUGCUCCUCAGCGCCUGGCCUAG